AGGGAGGGAGGGAGGGAGGGGGGCCGGGAGAGGAGAGGAGCUGCGGCGCAUGCGCAGGCCUGGGCCGGGCCCUGAGCCGCGCUGCCUUCCGCUUAGCGGGCGCGCUGGCUCUGCGGUUUGGCGGUACCGAGUGGCGGGAGGGCUAGCUUGCUCCCGUUCUCGCUCUCUGGUUGCCUCUGGAACCUUGGUCUCCCAUUACCUAGACCCUCGUUUGCCUGUUCAGGCACCUCAUGAACUCCGGCUCUGUUCACCUCUGCUCUUGCUCACAAAUUGAGCUCUCCCCGCUUCUCCCGGCCAACAGCGGGGACCCGUUGGUACCCAUGGAUUCCGGGCCCCGAUAGGCUUCAGAAUAAAGUGGAGCCCCGGCCAGGCUGAGGCCCCUUCUACCUCUGGCCUUCGGAUUUAUUUCCCAGUUUGGUGGGGGCAAAGAGGAGGGAAGUAGGUUGGGUUGGCUUGGAGAGAAGAGCUGUCGAGGGUAAAAGGCUGAUGGAAUGCCUAAUUGUCUCUCUUUUUUUUUUUUUUUUUUUUUUUUUUUUAUAGAUUUUUAAUUGGGAGGAUUCGCUUUUAGCCGUGAUUCAGCUAUUCUUUUCCUUAGUCCCACACACAUUUGAGAUACUUGAAGUCUGGAGACUGACGCCCAAAGAAAGACCUGGAACUUUAUCCUCACAAGGUGUUCGCGCGCGCGCGCCUGUGUGUGCGCGCCCGCUUGCUAAAUUAUGAGUUGAUCUACUGAUGACAAAGAAGUCUUGGGGAUUUGUAGUCUCUUUAUUCCGCACCGGGAUAUUUGAUUUAAAACAGGCCAGAUUUGAGGUUCUGAAUCUUUCAAUAUGGAAUAUACUCUUAAUAAGAGUUGCUGAAAUGAUAGAUCCGUCUUAAUAAACACUUGUCUUUUGAGAUUGGAGAAUUAGGAUAUCUAUGCUAUCAAUCAUAAUCCAUGAAGACUUAUAUAGAACCUGCUACAUCCAUCCAGGAAACUUUUAAUAAUGAAUUUUUUGGAUGAUGUUUCUUGAAAAAAAAAUCUUCUUCCAGCACGGUGUGUUAUCGACUACACUGGUCUAGGGAACACCAUUCGCAUUUUAUUCUCUGAAUAGCCCAGAAGAGGAAAGAAGUAGACAAGAUCAGAAAGACAAGUAGGAAUCAGACCAGGACCUUGAGAACAUAGGAGAGAACUCGGAUUUCAUUUUUGUAGCUGUGGAUAAAGACAAAAAACAAACACAUUUUGACCCUGACUUUUGAUUUCAAAGACUUAAAAAAAAAAAAUUAU